rnacentral:tRNA from 1 species
GCGAGAGUGGCGGAAUCGGCAGACGCGCACGUUUGAGGGGCGUGUGUUAAUCACGUACGGGUUCAAGUCCCGUCUCUCGCACCA